AAUCUUGCGCAAUGGCCGAGAGGCUGACGCAGCGACGCCGCGUGCGGGAGGAAGCCCUUCGGGGUGUAAACCGCUGUCACCGGGGACGAAUGUCGUGUGACCGAACAGGGAGCACGGUUGACGGUACCCGGAGAGGAAGCGCCGGCUAACUCCGUGCCAGCAGCCGCGGUAAGACGGAGGGCGCGAGCGUUGUUCGGAAUCACUGGGCGUAAAGCGCGCGCAGGCGGAUGGGGAAGUCGGAAGUGAAAGUCCGGGGCUCAACUCCGGGUACGCUUCCGAUACUCUCUGUCUAGGGACCGGUAGAGGCCGGUGGAAUUCCCGGUGUAGCGGUGGAAUGCGUAGAGAUCGGGAAGAACACCAGUGGCGAAGGCGGCCGGCUGGGCCGGAGAUCCGCAGAGGAUCGAUCCGACGCUGAGGCGCGAAAGCGUGGGGAGCAAACAGG
rnacentral:rRNA from 1 species